UUAAGAGAGAGUUUGGAAGAAGAAGAGAAAUUUUACUAGAAUUUUGAGGUUGAAGAAGAGAAGAACUCAAGCAAAGUGUAUCCAUGGCUGAAUCUUGGUUCACUCUACACAUCACUGGUUUUUAAUUCGCUUUGAACUCUUCAAAAGAAAUUAAGAGGGCAGUUGGUUUUCACUAGAAAUCAGGAGGUCUCUGGUUUUUCUUAUAUUUCAGAUUGUACCGGUGGAUUUAGGAUCUUUAUUUGGUAUGGUUGGAAAGCUUAUUCAAUUUACUACAACUUUCAUGAAGAAAUCGUGAACCAAAAACGACUAAAAAUUAGUUAAAUUGUAGGGAUAAGUUAAAGAGGUUGUGUGCGUGCGAUUCUUGAAGUUUUUCUAUUUCGAGGAUUAUCUGAGUUUAUUCACAGGGAAUCAGAUUUACAUGUCUUCAGGCCGAGAAAAAUUAAACCGAGCUUAUAGACCAAGGAUCUAGCCCAAGACGGUAGAGAUCGAGUUCCUGGUGCCUGAUAAACUGCCUUAGUCUGUUGAAGCUCCGUUAUCGAUUGCAAGUACGUGUUUUGAGUUGGGCAUAGAGUCUGUUAUGUUAUGAUGUAUAUACACCAUUGUAUGUUAUAGAUACUCCACAAUUUGUAUAAGUUUUAGGAGCUGCAGUUGUGUAAAUUUUUGUUGGUUAUAUUUUGAUUAAGAUGUAUUUAGGUUUACUCGUGAAAUCAG